CGAGGGGCAGCAUGGGGGAGUAGCAAUACUCUCUGAUGGCGACCGGCGCAAGGGUGCGUAACGCGUGAGCAACUUGCCCUCAUCAGGGGAAUAAUCGCUGGAAACGGCGUCUAAUGCCCCAUGGCGAUGGAAUCAGGCAUCUGGUUCCAUCUAAAGAUCCGUCGGAUGAGGAUAGGCUCGCGUGACAUUAGCUUGACGGCGGGGUAACGGCCCACCGUGGCGACGAUGUCUAGGGGUUCUGAGAGGAAGGUCCCCCACACUGAAACUGAGACACGGUCCAGACUCCUACGGGAGGCAGCAGUGAGGAAUAUUGGUCAAUGGCCGGAAGGCUGAACCAGCCAUGCCGCGUGAAGGUCAGUGCCCUAUGGGCGUUAAACUUCUUUUGUGCGGGAGCAAUAAGGUCCACGUGUGGACCGACGAGAGUACCGUACGAAUAAGCAUCGGCUAACUCCGUGCCAGCAGCCGCGGUAAUACGGGGGAUGCAAGCGUUAUCCGGAUUUAUUGGGUUUAAAGGGUGCGUAGGCUGUGAGGUAAGUCAGCGGUGAAAUGCCCCCGCUCAACGGGGUGAAGUGCCAUUGAUACUGCCUUGCUGGAAUGCGGAUGCCGUGGGAGGAAUGUGUGGUGUAGCGGUGAAAUGCAUAGAUAUCACACAGAACACCGAUUGCGAAGGCAUCUCACGAAUCCGCGAUUGACGCUGAUGCACGAAAA
rnacentral:rRNA from 1 species